rnacentral:rRNA from 1 species
GAGUAAUGCGUGACCAACCUGCCCCCAUGCUCCAGAAUAGCUCUUGGAAACGGAUGGUAAUGCUGGAUGCUCCAACUUGACGCAUGUCUUGUUGGGAAAGUGUUUAGUGGCAUGGGAUGGGGUCGCGUCCUAUCAGCUUGUAGGCGGGGUAAUGGCCCACCUAGGCUUCGACGGGUAGCCGGCCUGAGAGGGCGGACGGCCACAUUGGGACUGAGAUACGGCCCAGACUCCUACGGGAGGCAGCAGCU